AUGGACCCAGCUCUCGAGUGUCAAUACUCAUGCAAAGGCGCCGAGGUGGCAGCACUGGUGGCAUACAAGUGUCUCAGCCAAAACCCAAAGUCUAGGCCCACCAUGAGGGAGGUGGUCAAGGCCCUCGAGCCCGUCCUCGGCAUGGAAGACUUCUUUCCUGUGGGCCCAUUUGUGUUCACAAUCAUUGUGGAGGAGGACAAGGUAGUGGACAUGAAGGUGGAGGUCGAGGAGAAGCACCAACACCAUCGCCAGAACCAUCAAGACAGGCACCGGCAGAAGUACCCCGACUCAGCAAUCCAUGCCGGCAUUGUAACAUCCCAAAAUUCUAAAUUUUGGAAUGUUAUAAUAACAGAUAGAUUGGAUUGA
rnacentral:rRNA from 1 species